GACGAACGCUGGCGGCGUGCUUAACACAUGCAAGUCGAACGGUGAAGCGCCUUCCUUUUUGGUGGGUGUGGAUGAGUGGCGAACGGGUGAGUAACACGUGAGUAACCUGCCCCCUUCUUCUGGAUAACCGCAUGAAAGUGUGGCUAAUACGGGAUAUUCUGGGUCUGUCGCAUGAUGGGUCUGGGAAAGAUAUUGUUUCGGUGGGGGAUGGGCUCGCGGCCUAUCAGCUUGUUGGUGGGGUGAUGGCCUACCAAGGCGGUGACGGGUAGCCGGCCUGAGAGGGUGGACGGUCACACUGGGACUGAGACACGGCCCAGACUCCUACGGGAGGCAGCAGUGGGGAAUAUUGCACAAUGGGCGCAAGCCUGAUGCAGCGACGCCGCGUGAGGGAUGGAGGCCUGCGGGUUGUGAACCUCUUUCGCCAGUGAAGCAGGCCUGCCUAGUUUGUGGGUGGGUUGACGGUAGCUGGAUAAGAAGCGCCGGCUAACUACGUG
rnacentral:rRNA from 1 species